rnacentral:rRNA from 1 species
GACGUAGGGCGCGAGCGUUGUCCGGAUUUAUUGGGCGUAAAGAGCUCGUAGGCGGCUUGUCGCGUCGUUCGUGAAAUCCCGGGGCUCAACCCCGGAACUGCAUUGGAUACUGCCUUGCUCGAGUACUGGAGAGGGAACUGGAAUUUACGGUGUAGCAGUGAAAUGCGUAGAGAUCGUAAGGAAGGCCAGUGGCGAAGGCGAGUUCCUGGACAGUUACUGACGCUGAGGCACGAAGGCCAGGGGAGCAAACGGG